rnacentral:rRNA from 1 species
UGGCGAACGGGUGAGUAACACGUGAGUAACCUGCCCUUGACUUUGGGAUAACUUCAGGAAACUGGGGCUAAUACCGGAUAGGAGCUCCUGCUGCAUGGUGGGGGUUGGAAAGUUUCGGCGGUCGGGGAUGGACUCGCGGCUUAUCAGCUUGUUGGUGGGGUAGUGGCUUACCAAGGCUUUGACGGGUAGCCGGCCUGAGAGGGUGACCGGCCACAUUGGGACUGAGAUACGGCCCAG